rnacentral:tRNA from 1 species
UGGCUCAGUGGUAGAGCGCUUGCCUUGCAUGCAUGAAGCCCUAGGUUCGAUUCCUCAG